AAUAUAUCAUCAGUCAAUCGAUCAUAUCAGUCGAUUACCGUAAUAUUUAAAGGAAGGUUAACGUCUUUCGCGAUAUACAUAUAUGUCUAGUACUAUUAUACAUAUAUAAAUAUAUUAUCGUGUAGUAUAAAACUGUGUAAAUUAUUGCAUUCAGUGAAUGAUUUUACACGUGUAAGCAAUACGUAAAUCAGCUGUUCGUAUCGUGUCGGCCUCGGUGGAAUGUGUGAUCUAUUCAAUGGAAUCCAUACCGCAUAAAUACGUCGUUUUAAAAAGCACAGGACGUUUUAAUUCAUAGAGGUGCUCGUGGCAGGUACAAUGGGUCGAUCCCGGAGAAGGUCUGCGUAACAGCAGCAGGAACACGCCGAGCACGAGAAUGAGAUUGGCCUUUGUGUAAAGCGUCGAGCCGACUUCGCCGAGUCUGCAGUCGCAACAUCCGCAUUUCAAGCAGUCUUCAUGCCAAUACAUGUCCAACGCUUUCAGAAGAUCGAGCAGCGUUGAACAUAGAUACGACAAGAAUCAACUUUAACGCAACAAUUCUAUCCGUAAUUUUGAUCAACGAUUGCAGCAAAUUCAACGAUGGAGCUGGGAAGUUAUAUGCGGAGCGUAGAGUUGUCUGGAUUCAUCGAGAGAAUCCGCAAGAAAGAGGGCAUCGAAUCGCUCUAACGCGUUACUCGUACAUCAGCACCAUUUCCUCUUCCGCGGCUAUCCUGGACCAUUCUCUUUGCAAUCUUCCCUUUCUCUCCUCCCUCCUAUCUCCCCCCACGGCUUUCGCGCUCGCGCAGGCCCCGAUUAAUUAAUUCCUACCUCAUUAGCGAACGCGGCCGGCGUUCUCUUCCUCUGCGCACGCCGUAAGUGGCAAACAGAUAUCGCGAAGCUUACGCGCCGCAAAUACGGAGGGGAGGCCACCGGCACAUAUUGUAUAUUAUUAAUAACAACUGUUUGCGGACGGCUUUUCUGUUUUCCUCUCCUCCCCUUCCUCUACCCGCUCGUUGCCAAUUUGUCGGUGUAGAUAUUGGAUUCAGCCGCGUUAACAACGCCGCAUUAUCGGCGCGGCCGGUGAUAAAAGACUGCGUCGCGCG